rnacentral:rRNA from 1 species
AUUGAACGCUGGCGGCAUGCCUAACACAUGCAAGUCGAACGGUAACACGCCUAGGGUUGCCGACUAGUGGUGGCGGGGGGCGGAAGAGUAAGGAAUGUGUCCGAUCCUGGUGGGUCACGGGGCAAAACGUUUGCUAAUACCGCAUACUAUCUAAUAUGGCCAACGGGUGACCGCAAGGGCUUUCGCGGACUUGGCGGCCGAUGGCAGAUUAGGUAGUUGGUGGGAUAAUAGCUUACCAAGGCGACGAUCCGUAACUGGUCUGAGAGGAUGAUCAGCCACACUGGAACUGAGACACGGUCCAGACUCCUACGGGAGGCAGCAGUGGGGAAUUUUGGACAAUGGGCGCAAGCCUGAUCCAGCCAUGCCGCGUGGGUGAUGAAGGCCUUCGGGUUGUAAACCGCUUUUGUUAGGAAAGAAAAGCCGUAUUUUAAUACAGGAGUGUCAUGACGGUACCGAAAGAAUAAGCACCGGCUAACUACGUG